rnacentral:rRNA from 1 species
CCUACGGGUGGCAGCAGUGAGGAAUAUUGGUCAAUGGCCGGAAGCCUGAACCAGCCAAGCCGCGUGAGGGAUGAAGGUGCUAAGGUUUGUAAACUUCUUUUGUCAAGGGACAAAAUCAGGCACGAGAGCCUGACCGAAGGUACUUGAAGAAAAAGCAUCGGCUAACUCCGUGCCAGCAGCCGCGGUAAUACGGAGGAUGCGAGCGUUAUCCGGAUUUAUUGGGUUUAAAGGGUGCGUAGGCGGGCCUUUAAGUCAGCGGUGAAAGCCUCGGGCUCAACCCCAGUGAAGCGGUUGAAACUGGCUGUCUUGAGAGGUCGAGAGGAAGGCGGAAUGCGCAGUGUAGCGGUGAAAUGCUUAGAGAUUGCGCAGAACUCCGAUGGCGAAGGCAGCAUACCG